rnacentral:tRNA from 1 species
GGCUCCGUAGCUCAGCUGGCAGAGCAGUGGACUCUUAAUCCAUCGGUCGUAGGUUCGAAUCCUACCGGAGUCACCA